rnacentral:rRNA from 1 species
UCGCCCUUCCGAAUAUGACCAUGCACUUCCUGGUGUGUGGUGGAAAGCUUUUGCGGUGUGGGAUGGGCCCGCGGCCUAUCAGCUUGUUGGUGGGGUAAUGGCCUACCAAGGCGACGACGGGUAGCCGGCCUGAGAGGGUGACCGGCCACACUGGGACUGAGAUACGGCCCAGACUCCUACGGGAGGCAGCAGUGGGGAAUAUUGCACAAUGGGCGCAAGCCUGAUGCAGCGACGCCGCGUGAGGGAUGACGGCCUUCGGGUUGUAAACCUCUUUCAGCACAGACGAAGCGCAAGUGACGGUAUGUACAGAAGAAGGACCGGCCAACUACGUGCCAGCAGCCGCGGUAAUACGUAGGGUCCGAGCGUUGUCCGGAAUUACUGGGCGUAAAGAGCUCGUAGGUGGUUUGUCGCGUUGUUCGUGAAAACUCACAGCUUAACUGUGGGCGUGCGGGCGAUACGGGCAGACUUGAGUACUGCAGGGGAGACUGGAAUUCCUGGUGUAGCGGUGGAAUGCGCAGAUAUCAGGAGGAACACCGGUGGCGAAGGCGGGUCUCUGGGCAGUAACUGACGCUGAGGAGCGAAAGCGUGGGGAGCGAACAGGAUUAGAUACCCUGGUAGUCCACGCCGUAAACGGUGGGUACUAGGUGUGGGUUUCCUUCCUUGGGAUCCGUGCCGUAGCUAACGCAUUAAGUACCCCGCCUGGGGAGUACGGCCGCAAGGCUAAAACUCAAAGAAAUUGACGGGGGCCCGCACAAGCGGCGGAGCAUGUGGAUUAAUUCGAUGCAACGCGAAGAACCUUACCUGGGUUUGACAUGCACAGGACGACUGCAGAGAUGUGGAUUCCCUUAAGGGC